GAUGAACGCUAGCGGCAGGCUUAACACAUGCAAGUCGAGGGGUAUAGGGAGCUUGCUUCCUAGAGACCGGCGCACGGGUGCGUAACGCGUAUGCAAUCUACCUUUUGCAGAGGAUAGCCCAGAGAAAUUUGGAUUAAUACCUCAUAGUAUAGCAGUUUCGCAUGAAACCAUUAUUAAAGUUCCAACGGUAAAAGAUGAGUAUGCGUCCCAUUAGCUAGAUGGUAAGGUAACGGCUUACCAUGGCAAUGAUGGGUAGGGGUCCUGAGAGGGAGAUCCCCCACACUGGUACUGAGACACGGACCAGACUCCUACGGGAGGCAGCAGUGAGGAAUAUUGGACAAUGGGCGCAAGCCUGAUCCAGCCAUGCCGCGUGCAGGAAUAAGGUCCUAUAGAUUGUAAACUGCUUUUAUACAGGAAGAAACACACCCUCGUGAGGGUACUUGACGGUACUGUAAGAAUAAGGAUCGGCUAACUCCGUGCCAGCA
rnacentral:rRNA from 1 species